CUAGGGGUGAGUCUGUGGUAGCCUCUACUAUCACUGGCAGCCCCAGGACUGAAUGUCUGCACGGGGUUCAUGAAGCUGGAGUCUGGCACGUGUCAGGGGCCUGGACGAGGAUGAAGAGAGCGGGGGUGAUGACCUGGAAGUCCACUUGCUAUAGGCAGCUCUGUGAGGAGUGCAUUGUUCUUAUCUCUGUUUUUACAAAUGGGGUGACUGAGGCCCAGAGAAGAUCGACCUUACAUGGUUUAAAUCUGCGGGAUCUGAAUGUCACAGAACACAAGCAACUUGCCCAAGGUCACACAACCAGUAAAUCGUGGAGCAAGGAUUCAAACCGAAGUCCACCUUAGGUCAAACUCAUGGCUCCACACUUUCUUCUUAUACUGAAUGGUGAUCAUCUCUAACGCCCAUAUAGAUGUCUUAAUUCUACCUUCUGUGGUUGCACAGGACAAGCUUGCUUGCUUUUUCACCCAUUAGCCAUCCUGACUGAUGCUGGAUGACAUCUUUACUUUCUAAGUCUUGGCUCUUCCAGGUGUAGAAUUCCCAGUUUCUCCAACUCUUCUUGAUGGGAUGUGGCUGUCAGGUGGUCCAUGGCCCUGUCAUCCACCUUGUCACAUGAAUCACAGGGUGACGGAUCAUCAGGCUAGAGGUGUACAGAAGUGGGCUCUGUUUCAGUUCCGAAUUUGCUAGCUGUGUUUCAUCACUUACCUCGUCUCUUCUUCACAAAUACGACGUAAUUCUCAGGAUUGUUUUAAGAAUACAGAAUACGUAACUUGGGAUGUGUGCUAUUUCCUUAGAAAAAGGUAGAUAAAGUUCUUGGAUGUCCGAGGUAGUGUUAUUUCUAACAGCCCAACAGCUAAAAGAAAACCCGUUCAUAAUAAAACAGAAACUAGUACUAACCUAGAGUCACAGCAAGGGAAUGGGUAAGUAAUAGUGGUACAUUAGUUUCAUGGAAUGUCAGGCAGACGUUUAAAUUUCUCUUGAAAAAAAUGCCUAUGAUAAAAUGCUAACUAAAACAAGCAAGAUAUGCCAAUUACACAUCAAUAAAGCUGGAAAAAAAACCCAAACAAGAUAUAAAACCUUAUCUCUAGUAAGAUCCCAAGUCCGCAGGAAGACUGGAGUAAAAUACAUCCCAACACUAAGAAUAAUUGCGUCAACAAUUGUCUUAAGACGAUGGGCUUGUGGAUUGCACGCGUGUGCGUGUGCGCAUGCACUUCUUGAUGUUUUUCUGUUUUCCAUGUUUUCUGCAAUGAGCAUGGGUCACUUUGUAAAUCAGCACAAAAUACGGGGCUCAGAAUGCAGCACGAAAACAACCCCUAACUAGGGCCUCACUGGACCUAAGACCAGUUAGUGCCUUUUCAAAACCCAUUUGUUUUGUUUUGUUCUUUUUUUCCUGCUGUGCCAAAGUGCCAUUUCAGCGUCUCUCCUCUGCUCACUCAUCUCUUUUGGCGUCACUAUCUUGAUACGACUGACUCAAAGAGGAAGCCAAUACAAUAGACUAAAGCCAGCCUGUAGGAACCGCCCGGGCUCAUGUUGCAAAUAGGAUGUGCUGAGAUAGUCUUUCCAAAAAAAAAAAACAACAAAAAAACAAACCCAAACUAACACCCUCUUUAGCAUCUCAUGGAACAAAUAGCAUAGUGGGAAGGCUACUUCCAAGGUGGUCUUCUGGACUUGGCACCUGCUCCUGGAGGGUCAGCUGUCCUGGGCAUGCUGGGCCAGACUGGGCAGGGCGAGUUGGCACAUGAAUGAGCCUGGUCUAAGAUACCAUCGGGUGACCUGGGCACAACUGAGUCUUAUCGGGACAGCUCCGUAAGUUAUGUCUUCUGGGCCUGAUAAUGUUAUAACUGAUGGCCUCUAAGAAAAGUGCUGCCUCCCACUUGCUGGGGAGGGCAGCAGGGGAAGGGUAAGGAAGAGGAUGUUUUCUGGAGAGGCUUCAGUUGCCUGUUCAGAGUAGCAGCAGGAUGCUGAGUCCUCUGUGAGCAUUGGUGUGGCUGGUUCUGAAAAUGGCAGAAGCGUCUCCUCUUUCCUCUCCUGCUGUUGGAGCAGCCAGCACUGGGGACUUCACUUUUCUCUGUUUAUACAACGAAACUGCAUGAGAAGGAAUGGACGCAGACAUUAGAGGGUGCAUCCUCUUUGUUAUUACCGCAGGGAAAGAGCCAAGGUCUUGCCAAGGUCGUCCAGGCAACAAGGCAGGAUUAGAACCUCACAGUUCACUUUUGUCCAUUAGAGCAUAUGAGGGAGAACUGGGAAUUUACCCCACAAUUCCUCCUCAUGAUACCCAUGCUAAUGAUUUCUGCCAUCUGGUCAGUGUCUGCUGUGUGCUGGGCAUCAGGCAGUCAUUUAGAAACAUUCUAUCUGUUAUGGGCCGAAUCGGGUUCUCCCCCAUAUUUAUAUUUUGAUGUUCUGUACCCCAGUACCUCAGAAAUGUGGCUGUAUUUAGACAUAGGGCCUUUCAAGAGAUCAUUCAAUUAAAUGGAGAUCAUGAGGGUGAACGUUAAUCUCCCAUGCCUGAUGUCCUUAUAAGAAGAGGAAAUUAGCACACAGGGAAGACCAUGUGAAGAUGCAGGGAACAGGCCAUCAUCUGUAAAUCAGGAGGAGAGGCCUCAGAGGAGACCAACUCUACUGGCACCUUAAUCUUAAGCAUCCAGCUUCCAGAACUGUGGGAAAAUGAGUUUCUGUUGCUGAAGCCAGCCAGCCUGUGGCACUUUGUCAUGGCAGCCCAAGAUGACUAAAACUACACCAUCCUAACCAUGGCCCUGCCAGUAGGGAGCCUCAGUCCCAAGUGCCAGAUGAGGACAUUCAACCUCAGAGUAGAAAAAAAAAUUGUCCAAGGCCACAGUUAAUAAGAAAACUCGAUUAGAACCCAGUCUCAUUGAAACCUAGAGCUUGAGCAUCUCUCUUAGAAGAAAUGGGACCAUUUCUGAGACAGUGUAUUGCUAACUGUGCAUGGUUGUUUAAUGAACACAGCAUCACGAGGCCUCAUGAUUACUUUGGCUGUGGUAAGUGGCAGUCCCUUAUAGGAAAUUCCAGGUGGAGUCUGGUCCUCCAGAAGGCCACUUCCUGGGGAUGCUUUGCUCUUCAGUCCCAGGGGCCCACCUUUGGGCUGGAGCAGGGUCUCCCCGAUCUGUCUCCCCAUUGCAGGGCCUUGUGAGACAGCAGACUUGGAGCCAGGGCCCUGGGACUCCAUUUCUCUCCAUCUGCCAGUCUGGCGGGUGACCUUGGGCAAAGGACACCGUCUCUCUGGGCAUUUGAGUCUGACCUUCACCCAUUCUGAUUGCUUUGACAAAUUCUGCUACCAGCUUCUUGGUGGCAUUUUAGGGUGUAAGCACUGAUAUUUUCCUAUAGGCAACCUAAUCCCAUGGCCAAUCACAGCCAGCUUUUAUUAGACUUUCCACCUCCUGCUUUUUGCCUCCUGCUGCUGGCUCAUACCUUAGAUCUUGGCUCAGCUGUCACUUCCUCAGGGAAGCCUUCUCAGCCUGGACCAGCUUCCCUUGUUAGUAGCUAGGUUAUCUCCGUAGUGGACACACAGUUUCCGGACGCAUCCCUCCCAGAGCCAAAACCUCUGCCGGGCGUGUAGUGGACUCUUAACAGACACUGAUGCACAAGUCCAUAUGCUCUUUUAUUGCCCUGCCCUGGGCUUUCCCUUCAUAGUAUUGAUCAUAACUUUAAAUGAUAUAGUUGAUUGAUGUCUGUCUCCCUGUCCCUGGCUCUAGGCUGAAACUCCAUGAGGGCAAGAUCUUUGCUUUGCUGGCCAUUCCGUUCUCAGCCCCCAGCCAUGCCUCAAAUGGAGGAGGCACUGUAAGAAUAUUAGUCGCAUAAAAUUCAAUGAAGGAGAUUGAGAGGUCAGAGGGGUUUUGAUUCAUUCAAAAGACAUGGUCCCCAAGUGACUUUUCAGGCUGUAGGAGAGCUCCCUCUACGCCAUUCACUGCUUUAGUCCAUUCAACAAACCUUUACCCAUCCAUCUCCUCUUGUGCUAGGCAAUGCAUUUACCAAAGCAUUAAGAAUUUUUCUCUUCUAGGGAUUGCAAUGAAUCUGUAGAUUGCCUUGAGUAGUAUGGCCAUUUUAACAAUAUUGACUCUUCCAAUCCAAGAACACGGUAUUUCUUUCCAUCUGUUUGUGUUGUCUUCAGUUUCUUUCAUCAGUGUCUUAUAGUUUUCAGAGUAGAGGCUACUGGGUAGCACAGGAAACUGUAGUCAAUUUCUUGUAAUACCAUAUAAUGGAAAAAAUCUGAAAAGAAAAUAUUUGUGUAUGUACACGUAUAACUGAAUUGCUUUGCUGUAU